UGCAGAAUCCCGCGUACCAUCGAGUCUUUGAACGCAAGUUGCGCCCGAAGCCACUAGGCCGAGGGCACGCCUGCCUGGGCGUCA
rnacentral:rRNA from 1 species